ACUUUGGCCACCAGUUCGCUUUCAUUGUUAGUCACUGACACACGAAGACCUUGUAAAAUGUCAAACCUUGGCGAAAAAGUAAUUUUAGCUUACAGCGGUGGUCUAGACACAUCCUGUAUACUAUUGUGGUUAAAAGAGGAAGGAUAUCGAGUUAUCGCUUACAUAGCAAAUGUAGGACAAGAGGAGGACUUUGAUGCUGUUCGAGAAAAAGCAUUGAAAAUCGGCGCUAUAAAGGUCGUAAUCGAGGAUCUCAGAGAAGUCUUUGUAUCUUCGUUCGCAUGGCCGGCUGUUGCAUGCGGAUUGAUCUAUGAGAACAGAUAUCUCUUAGGCACAUCAAUCGCUCGGCCAUGUAUUAGCGAAGGCUUGAUAAGAAUCGCAAAAGCUGAGAACGCUUCUAUAAUAGCUCACGGUGCGACCGGUAAAGGCAACGAUCAAGUGCGUUUCGAACUGAGCUGCUACAGCCUUUGCCCCGAAAUCCAGAUUCUUGCGCCCUGGAGGAAACGAAAAUUUUACACGAGAUUUGCCGGAAGGCCGGACUUGUUAAAAUACGCUCAAGAAAAUGGCAUUCCUGUCUCAGCAACACCGAAAGAACCGUGGAGUAUUGAUGCAAAUUUAUUGCACGUUAGUUAUGAAUCCGGAAUUUUAGAAGAUCCAGACACAUCAGCUCCGAAAACAUUAUAUAAAAUGACGAACGAUCCAUUAAACGCUCUCGCGGAACCAGCAAAAAUUGAAAUUGGUUUCAAAGAAGGAUAUCCAUCGUUCGUGAAAGAUGUAAAAACUCAAGAGACAUAUGUUGCUCCUCUCAAAAUAAUGCAGUACCUGAAUAAAAUUGGCAGCCUGCACGGUAUAGGACGUAUAGACAUUGUCGAGAAUCGUUUCAUUGGUUUGAAGUCUAGGGGUAUUUACGAAUCACCCGGUGCUAAAAUCCUUCACGAGGUGCAUCAGGAUUUGGAAAUAUUUGUGCUAGAUCGAGAAGUAUUAAGAAUCAAAUCUUAUUUGACCGACAAGAUGUCCGAUUACGUUUACAACGGCUUCUGGUUCUCUCCCGAAUGCGAUUUCGUGCGGAACAGUAUACUGUACUCUCAAAAGUAUGUUAACGGAACGGUUCGAUUACAACUCUACAAAGGACAUGUCUCAAUAUUGGGCCGACAUAGCGAAGUUUCACUGUACAAUAAAGAGUUGGUCUCGAUGGACUUGCGUGAUGGUUUUGAACCCGAGGAUGCCGGUGGUUUUAUACGGACGCAAGCAAACAGGUUGAAAGAAUUUUAUCGUCUGCAAAACCAGAAGUCAGAUUAAAGCCGUAUAAGCUUCUACGAAUGUAUAAUUCUUUGGCAGAAUAAAGGACCAUGAACAACAUAUUUUCUUUUCAACAACGUGGAUCAGACAAAACACAGGAUAAAAUGUAAGGUUUCGUUUGAACGAGUAAUGGUGCAGUGGAAAUCAAGGAUAAACGUGCGAACGAACGUUGGCCCAGUAAACGGUUCUCUCUUACUUAACAACAUCAAGCGUUUCUUUAUUUUUUAGCCAUUUAUUCUUCAUUUCAAUAUUAUUUAUGUACAACCAGCUUAAUGUCUCUCUAUCGUUAAUCGUAAUAAGUCUACUAAAACUCAUGUGCCGUUGGAGAUGGUGUGCGUCCGUGGGAACUUAUAUAAAAAAUUAUUUUUUGAUACAGCGGAGUGAUUUUGGUAUUACUUACGAAUUAUUUUAGGUCUUUACCUAGUAACUUACACUGAGAUCUAGUAGGUUAUACAAUCUAUCGGCCUCCCUUAAAUAUUACAAACCUUAUCACAUAUAUAGAGGUGUAUUAGUACUUAUUACUUUUUUUAUACAUAGAUAUUCUGUAUUCUGUUUAAA